rnacentral:lncRNA from 10 species
AGCGUAAACCGGGAAGCGGAUCGCGUGGAGUGAAAGUCACCGCAGCGGCUGGAGUGCAAUGGCGAGAUCUCAGCUCACUGCAACUGCUGUCUCCCGGGUUCAAGCAAUUGUCCUGCCUCAGCCUCCUGAAUAGCUGGGAUUACAGGUGCCCACCACCACUACCAGGAGAUGGACAAACCAUGUGGGUGCCCUCCAGGUGUGUGCGACCAUGAAAUGGGAGACUAGCAGGACCCACGUUGGCCAACCGUGGACCUGGUCCCUCCAGUAGGAGUCGUGAGCCAGCUGAAUUUGAAUGCAAAGAUGGAGCAAGGGCCGACUGGAGUCACACUGACAUCCACCCCCAUAACAUGGGGACAGAUCAAGAAAACAAAGCAGGAAGCUGAGAAAAUGCUGGAGCAUCCAUGUGCUUGGCCAUGUUAGCAGUAGUGUCCUGUGAGGAUUGAUUUCCAAAAACUCCUGUUACAUGAGGAAGACACCAAGAAGAGCAAAGAAAAGGAGCCAGGGUGGCUCUUCCUCAGCUAUCUCUUCCAAAUGCAUGACAAGGAAGUUCUCAUCAAGAAGGCAAGGCAAUACAGAAGUGUUCCACACAGGGACAUUGC